rnacentral:rRNA from 1 species
UACGGAGGGUGCGAGCGUUGUCCGGAUUUAUUGGGCGUAAAGAGCUCGUAGGCGGUGUGUCGCGUCUGCUGUGAAAACUCAGGGCUCAACUCUGAGCUUGCAGUGGGUACGGGCACACUUGAGUGCUGUAGGGGAGACUGGAAUUCCUGGUGUAGCGGUGAAAUGCGCAGAUAUCAGGAGGAACACCGAUGGCGAAGGCAGGUCUCUGGGCCACUACUGACGCUGAGAAGCGAAAGCAUGGGGAGCGAACAGG